ACUGAAGACAGACUAGUGCGAAAGCAUUUGCCAAGGAUGUUUUCAUUAAUCAAGAACGAAAGUUAGGGGAUCGAAGACGAUUAGAUACCGUCGUAGUCUUAACCAUAAACUAUGCCGACUAGAGAUUGGCGGAUGUCGUUAGCGACGCCGUCAGCAUCUUACGAGAAAUCAAAGUGUUUGGGUUCUGGGGGGAGUAUGGUCGCAAGGCUGAAACUUAAAGGAAUUGACGGAAGGGCACCACCAGGAGUGGAGCUUGCGGCUUAAUUUGACCCAACACGGGGAAACUCACCAGGUCCGGACAUGGUAAGGAUUGACAGAUUGAGAGCUCUUUCAUGAUUCUAUGGGGUGGUGGUGCAUGGCCGUUCUUAGUUGGUGGAGUGAUUUGUCUGGUUAAUUCCGUUAACGAACGAGACCUUAACCUGCUAAAUAGGCACGCAAACGCGGGUUUGCGGUGCGUUCUUAGAGGGACAAACCACGUUUAGUGGUUGGAAGUUUGAGGCAAUAACAGGUCUGUGAUGCCCU
rnacentral:rRNA from 1 species